rnacentral:rRNA from 1 species
GGGAUAGAAUUCCAGGAGUAGCGGUGAAAUGCGUAGAUAUCUGGAGGAAUACCAAAGGCGAAGGCAGUCCCCUGGUCCGAUACUGACACUGAGGUACGAAAGCGUGGGGAGCAAACAGGAUUAGAUACCCUGGUAGUCCACGCCCUAAACGAUGUCGAUUAGCCAUUGGAAGGACCCCUUUUCCUUUCAGUGACGUAGCUAACGCGUUAAAUCGACCGCCUGGGAAGUACGACCGCAAGGUUAAAACUCAAAGGAAUUGACGGGGACCUGAACAAGCGGUGAAUGAUGUGGAUUAAUUCGAUGCUACGCGAAGAACCUUACCUACCUUUGACAUGGCCAAAGUUCUACCGAGAGGCGGAAGUACUCGUAAGAGGAUUGGCGCACAGGUGCUGCAUGGUUGUCGUCAGUUCGUGUCGUGAGAUGUUGGGUUCAGUCCCGCAACGAACGCAACCCUUAUCUUUAAUUGCUCCUAUUUUAACAGGCACUUUAAAGAAACUGCCAAUGAUAAGUUGGAGGAAGGUGGGGAUCACGUCAAGUCCGCAUGGCCUUUAUAGGUAGGGCUUCACACGUCAUACAAUGGUUAGAACAAAGAGCUGCAAAUUCGUAAGAAGGAGCCAAUCUCACAAACCUAACCUCAGUUCGAAUUGCGGUCUGCAACUCGAGCGCAUGAAGCCGGAAUCGCUAGUAAUCGUGGAUCAGAGUGCCACGGUGAAUACGUUCUUAGGUCUU